rnacentral:rRNA from 1 species
UAGGGAAUCUUCGGCAAUGGACGAAAGUCUGACCGAGCAACGCCGCGUGAGUGAAGAAGGUUUUCGGAUCGUAAAACUCUGUUGUUAGAGAAGAACAAUGACGUUAGUAACUGAACGUCCCCUGACGGUAUCUAACCAGAAAGCCACGGCUAACUACGUGCCAGCAGCCGCGGUAAUACGUAGGUGGCAAGCGUUGUCCGGAUUUAUUGGGCGUAAAGCGAGCGCAGGCGGUUUCUUAAGUCUGAUGUGAAAGCCCCCGGCUCAACCGGGGAGGGUCAUUGGAAACUGGGAGACUUGAGUGCAGAAGAGGAGAGUGGAAUUCCAUGUGUAGCGGUGAAAUGCGUAGAUAUAUGUAGGAACACCAGUGGCGAAGGCGGCUCUCUGGUCUGUAACUGACGCUGAGGCUCGAAAGCGUGGGGAGCAAACAGG